GGGGGGGGGCCGUACGCGCCUGGCACAUCGCGCUGACCCCCGGACCAUCUGCUGUGCCCCGACCAUCGAGACCCCGGACAUUCUUCAGAGCUCGCGCGACGUCCAACGCCGCGUUCGAGCCGAACCGCGUGUCCUCGUUCUUUAGCUGUGGCUCUGCAGAAAUCAUUCCCCUGAUCUGUCGUGCCUCAAUAAAACGAACACUGAGCGCGGCCGUUGCCCACUCGACGUGGCCGAAGUCGACUCCGACGAAGGCGGGCACGCGUCCGCGCGCCGUGCCCCGACUCCCUCUCAUGCCUGAGCUGGACCGCGCCGACGAGCCUCCUGGCUCCGGAGCCUGUGUGCGUGCGAGCGAACCUGCGACACGCUCUUCGCGAUGUGUACUCCUCCGGAACCUCGAACCGCGCAAGGUGCGCUGAGUUACUCGCUGCCACUUCGAACCCAGCCACCACCCUGCACACGCCAAUCCGAAGAUCCUCGUCAGCCAACUGUGGUGUAGUGAUAGAGAUGCUUAGCAGGCAGACACGAGCGGGGGAACAGUCGAGCCGGGCUGUGUUGCACAAGCGCGAGCGCGGGCGUACUUUGCCCGCGGCUCUCCUUUAUUACGUACUCAGCACACUCACAAGCCGGGCGACUACGGCAUCACUACAACGCCUCAGGCGGCGCUCACUCCUUAUAUUCCUGGCAGACACGACGCUCACGCCGACCACUCCUCCCAUCAUCAUUCCCCGCCCUGCAUGCCCGCAGGCUAUACCACAGAUUCUACAACAAAAAGUAACUUAAUCAUGUUCAAUACUGAAUCGUGGAAACGAUUUGUCGAUUUCGCCUGCAAAUGGGUGAAUUACGAUUGUAAAGAGAGUAAUAUAGUUACUGAGAUUGCAACAAAUCUUGGUACUGAUUUUCACGAUACUGCGACAUGCAUUGUGGCUCGGCCCUCGUUGUCGAGUAACCUUGGCAACCACUACAAUUGCUACAAGCGCUUCUGUGACAUCAGUAAAAACAGAAGAAAAGAGAAGUCAUUUGCAAAGAAAUCGACUUCUCAAGGACGAGAUAAUAUUAAUAAACCAAGAUGGCAGACACCAGUCCUUUUUCACUGGAAGAGAGGCUGGCAGCAAUGGUGUGGUACCACGAGAGGAGAAACACGGAUGCACUCGGUUUAA
rnacentral:lncRNA from 1 species